AGAGUUUGAUCCUGGCUCAGGAUGAACGCUGGCGGUAUGCCUAACACAUGCAAGUUGAACGAAAGCUUUGGCUUUAGUAGCGGACGGGUGAGUAACGCAUGAGAAUCUGCAUUUAGGAGGGGAAUAACAAUUGGAAACGAUUGCUAAUGCCCCAUAUGCUUUAGAGUGAAAUGAUUUUUCGCCUGAAUAUGAGCUCAUGUCUGAUUAGCUAGUUGGUAGGGUAAAGGCCUACCAAGGCGACGAUCAGUAGCUGGUUUGAGAGGAUGAUCAGCCACACUGGAACUGAGACACGGUCCAGACUUCUACGGAAGGCAGCAGUGGGGAAUUUUCCGCAAUGGGCGAAAGCCUGACGGAGCAAUACCGCGUGAGGGAUGAAUGCCUAUGGGUUGUAAACCUCUUUUAUUGGGGAAGAAUAAUGACGGUACCCAAUGAAUAAGCAUCGGCUAACUCCGUGCCAGCAGCCGCGGUAAUACGGGGGAUGCAAGCGUUAUCCGGAAUCAUUGGGCGUAAAGAGUCUGUAGGUUGCUAGAUAAGUCUGCUGUUAAAUAUUAGAGCUCAACUUUAAGCAAGCAGUAGAAACUAUCAGGCUAGAGUAUGUUAGGGGUAGAGGGAAUUCCCAGUGUAGCGGUGAAAUGCGUAGAUAUUGGGAAGAACACCAGAAGCGAAAGCGCUCUACUGGGACAUAACUGACACUGAGAGACGAAAGCUAGGGGAGCAAAUGGGAUUAGAUACCCCAGUAGUCCUAGCCGUAAACGAUGGAUACUAGAUGUUGUACGUAUCGAUCCGUGCAGUAUCGUAGCUAACGCGUUAAGUAUCCCGCCUGGGAAGUACGCUCGCAAGGGUGAAACUCAAAGGAAUUGACGGGGGCCCGCACAAGCGGU
rnacentral:rRNA from 1 species